CCUAUAAUCGUUUUAAUCGAUGGGGGGACGCAGUAGGAUAGGCGAAGCGUGCGAUUGGAUUGCACGUCUAAGCAGUAAGGCUGAGUAUUAGGCAAAUCCGGUACUCGUUAAGGCUGAGCUGUGAUGGGGAGAAGACAUUGUGUCUUCGAGUCGUUGAUUUCACACUGCCGAGAAAAGCCUCUAGAUAGAAAAUAGGUGCCCGUACCGCAAACCGACACAGGUAGUCAAGAUGAGAAUUCUAAGGUGAGCGAGCGAACUCUCGUUAAGGAACUCGGCAAAAU
rnacentral:rRNA from 1 species